GUGGUCAUGAACUAACGUAAAGGUCAAACUCUUGCUCCUUUUGUCAGCAGGACCCAUUAGAUGUGGGCAAAAACCUUACAACAAUGGAAGAGCACUGCUUCUCUCAAAAGCCUUCAUUAAUGAAUGUGAGGACAACCCAGAGUUGCUGGAGGAAGCGGUAAAAGAGGCACAGUGGGUGCGCCAGCUUCAUAGUGAUGACCUUGUACACUGGAUGAAUGGGAGCACUUCAGCAAGGAAAGAUCUUGAGGU